rnacentral:rRNA from 1 species
GCUACGGGAGGCAGCAGUGGGGAAUAUUGGGCAAUGGAGGAAACUCUGACCCAGCAACGCCGCGUGACUGAUGAAGGUCUUCGGAUUGUAAAGUUCUUUUCUACGGGAAGAAGAACGUGACGGUACCUUAGGAAUAAGCCUCGGCUAACUAAGUGCCAGCAGCCGCGGUAAUACGUAGGAGGCAAGCGUUAUCCGGAAUGACUGGGCGUAAAGGGUGCGUAGGUGGUUUGACAAGUUAGUAGCGCAACUCCGGAGCUCAACUUCGGAACUACUACUAACACUGGUGGACUUGAGUGCAGGAGUGGCAAUCGGAAGUCCUGGUGUAGCGGUGGAAUGCGUAGAUAUUAGGAGGAACACCAGUGGCGAAGGCGGAUUGCUAGACUGUAACUGACACUGAGGCACGAAAGCGUGGGGAGCAAACAGGAUUAGAUACCCGAGUAGUC